rnacentral:lncRNA from 1 species
UUUUUACAAACAAAAAUAAAGUAACUUUAAAAAAUAAUUUAAAAUAAUUAGAUGACUAUUUGAGUAAUGAAUCCAGAUAACAAGCUUCCCAUUUCCAAAUUCUCCUUCAUAUUGUUCUCGACUGAGAGAUAGAUCGAUCUAUUGCAUAAGGUGAUUUUUUUUGGCAAGAUCCACAACCAUCUGCAAAUAUCUCAUAAAUUUUUUAUUUAUAUAUUUUUGUGAAAAAGAAAAUCUUUCUGUAAAUGCUUAAACGUGAAAAGAAAUUACAAGAGCCGUACUAACAAAGUAUGACGCAAGUGAUCUUGGCUUUUUUUGCUUUAAUUGUUUACAUUUGCUACGAACUCUACAAUAAUAUCAUUAGAUGCAUAUCAAAUCCUUUAAAAUAGUAUAUGUUUAAGGAUUUGGCACGAAUACAACAAUAUUUUAAAGAGUCGGCGAAAUAUUUCUAUCACAUUGAUCACCACCAUCCAUGGACAACAUGGUUGCAAGUAUCCUUGAACCACCUAAAGCUUUUCCUAAGUGAACCCUUCAUCUUACCUUCCAUAGCAUAAGCUUUAUAUCCAACAACUCUUCUUUUUCUUUGCAAUUCAAGAUCAUUCAAAUUCCAUCCUUUUAUAGAUGAAGAUGACAUCACUUUGCUCUUAUUAUUAUUGCUCUUUUUCACCUUAUUCACUUCCAUAUCCAUAGAAAAAUAAGGAACAUAAGAAGUACUAUAACUCCUUAAAUCUUGCAUGUUUGUUGGUGUUGCUGCUGCUUUUUGCCUUCUUCCUUCUCUUGUUGACAUUGAUCUAAAAUUUUCCAUUAUUAGGAAUGAAAGUGAGAGCUUUAAUUUCUGAUGGGGUUUGGGUUUAGAGGAAGAGGGAGGGAUUUAGAGGGAGGAAAAAGAAAGGAUUGGUUAUUAGGCUUUGCUUCAAGAUUUGGUUUUGAGCAACUAUGGGUUUAUGUAGAAAAAGGGGAGGUGGC